GCGGGUGUAGCUCAAUUGGCAGAGCACUGGAUUUCCAUUCCAGGUGUUGUGGGUUCAAAUCCCAUCACCCGCU
rnacentral:tRNA from 1 species